AGCAGCCUUCCGAUAGCUUCAGUGAACAUUCAACGCUGUCGGUGAGUUUGAGAAUUAGAAAAAAAAACCAUCGACCGUUGAUUGUACCUUGAGGUUUAUCA
rnacentral:pre_miRNA from 1 species